rnacentral:misc_RNA from 1 species
GAUGAAGAACGUAGCGAAAUGCGAUAAGUAAUGUGAAUUGCAGAAUUCAGUGAAUCAUCGAAUCUUUGAACGCACAUUGCGCCCCUUGGUAUUCCGGGGGGCAUGCCUGUUCGAGCGUCAUUAUAACCCCUCAAGCUCAGCUUGGUGUUGGGGCCUGCCAACUGGCAGCCCUUAAAAUCAGUGGCGGCGCCAUCUGGCUCUAAGCGUAGUGAUUUCUCUCGCUAUAGGGUCCCGAUGGAUGCUUGGCAACAACCCCCAAUUUUCUAUGGUUGACCUCGGAUCAGGUAGGGAUACCCGCUGAACUUAAGCAUAUCAAUAAGCGGAGGA